AGCUUCUCAGAUUGUGUACCGUCCUAGUUGGCAGGCAGUUAGAACUCGUGAUUGAGUGGUUGGUAAAGCUAGACCUGAGCGACCUAACCUGUUGGUUUGAAUGACUGUG
rnacentral:sRNA from 12 species